UCUGCCUCCCAAAACGCUGCUAAAAAAUCAGGCCAUUUUAAGGCCUUUCAAAUCUCGCCAGAAACCCCGAUCGCAACGGAGCAGGCAGACUCAAUAACACCAGGUAAUUUCCUCGUCUCUUGAUUAUUUCUUUUUUCUUUCCUUUUUUUCUCGCACCACUAAUGAAUAAAAAAUAGAACAGAAAAGAAAAUCCAGAGAAAAAAAAGAAAAAUCUGAAAUCACCUUUCGAAUAUCCUCUUUUUUGCUUAGAUUUCUUUGGUAUAUUUUUUUUAUUUCGUAUCCGUUCCCCUCUACAAAUCUCCAAUUGGCUUUUGUAUGGCCGAAUAUAAAAUUACAAAAAUUAUUUAGCUAUUUUUUUCUGCCAUUCUAGUGUAUUUUUUCUGUUAUUGCCUUGGCUGCUAGUUUGUUGCGUUUGCAGGUACAGCCAGCUGGAGGUGCACACGUGUGGAUGCGCCUGGGUGAGGGCUUAGCUGCGGCGGCUGAAGUUUGCUCUAGAAACCUUCGGGGUUUCUGAAAACUGCUUUGGGCUUCAAUGUAAUUGGGCUGGGGUUUUGGGUUAAGGAACUUUAGGCCCGUUAUUUGUUUUGUAAUCUAGACUAGGGUAAUACGG
rnacentral:lncRNA from 1 species